rnacentral:rRNA from 1 species
GAGUGAACGCUGGCGGUAGGCCUACCACAUGCAAGUCGAACGGCAGCACAGUAAGGGCUUGCUCUUACGGGUGGCGAGUGGCGGACGGGUGAGGAAUACAUCGGAAUCUACUUUUUCGUGGGGGAUAACGUAGGGAAACUUACGCUAUUACCGCAUACGACCUACGGGUGAAACCAGGGGAUCUUCGGCCCUUGCGCGAUUGAAUGAGCCGAUGUCGGAUUAGCUAGUUGGCGGGGUAAAGGCCCACCAAGGCGACGAUCCGUAGCUGGUCUGAGAGGAUGAUCAGCCACACUGGAACUGAGACACGGUCCAGACUCCUACGGGAGGCAGCAGUGGGGAAUAUUGGACAAUGGGCGCAAGCCUGAUCCAGCCAUACCGCGUGGGUGAAGAAGGCCUUCGGGUUGUAAAGCCCUUUUGUUGGGAAAGAAAAGCAGCAGGUUAAUACCCCGCUGUUCUGACGGUACCCAAAGAAUAAGCACCGGCUAACUUCGUG